AUUGAACGCUGGCGGCAGGCUUAACACAUGCAAGUCGAGCGAGCGGCGGACGGGUGAGUAAUGUCUGGGAAACUGCCUGAUGGAGGGGGAUAACUACUGGAAACGGUAGCUAAUACCGCAUACCAUCAGAUGUGCCCAGAUGGGGUUAGCUAGUAGGUGGGGUAAUGGCUCACCUGGGCGACGAUCCCUAGCUGGUCUGAGAGGAUGACCGGCCACACUGGAACGGGGACACGGUCAAGACUCCUGCGGGAGGCCGCAGUGGGGAAUGGUGCGCAAGGGGCGCAAGCAUGAUGCAGCCGUGCCGCGUGUGUGAAGAAGGCCUUCGGGUUGUAAAGCACUUUCAGCGAGGGGGCGUUACUCGCAGAAGAAGCACCGGCUAACUACGUGCCAGCCGCCGCGGUAAUAC
rnacentral:rRNA from 1 species